UACGAGGGGUGCAAGCGUUGCUCGGACUUAUUGGGCGUAAAGGGUAGGUAGGUGGUCUCAUUUGUCUGGGGUGAAAGCCCGGAGCUUAACUCCGGAAGUGCCCCAGAAACGGUGAGACUCGAGUCCUGGAGAGGGUCGUGGAAUUCCCGGUGUAGCGGUGAAAUGCGUAGAGAUCGGGAGGAACACCGGUGGCGAAGGCGGUUCUCUGGGCCUGUACUGACGCUGAGGAGCGAAAGCGUGGGGAGCAAACAGG
rnacentral:rRNA from 1 species